AUUAGUUGUGCACACAGCGAAAGACCACGAACAUGGAAAAGAGAAAGAACGGGAGCAAGACGCCAUUUCAGAAAUGGGCCGUGUGAGAGCUGUUGGGAGCUAUCAGCGCUAAUAAUGUAAAAGAUCAGGAAAAGAUGUUUUACUGCCGUGUAACAGACACCGUUUGGAAACCAUUAAGUAUGACGGAUCUGCUGAUAUGGUCAGAGUGCAAAAGCGUUCCUCGAGUGACGUCAUCCAACCCUUAAUCGACUGAAAUUGCCGAAGACAGCGAAUAUCCAAAAUGGCCGACUAAAUUUGUGAAAUGUUUUGAUGUUUAGACUGCAUUUUUACAUACUUUGCACAUUGUAAAUACAAUUGGUUAUGGUUUAAUGGAAACAAUGAAACACACUUAAGCAUACGUCAACUUGUUUUUCCAUCAUACUGGUACUUUAAAACACUUCUUUGUGGUCUACAUAACAUGUGAUGGUGGUGCUUUCGUCAAAAUUUGGGAAAAAUGUUGCUUUACAGAUCAUCUACAGGCCACUUUCUGAGUGUCUUUGAAAACAAGCGGUUUUAAAUUUAGUAGAUGCAAAGGAAUCCCUCCACUACUUGCCCCCUCCAGCCGCCUGUGACUGUGUAUCUGCCCCGUCAGCCAUGUUGUAGUUUUGUGUGUACAUUCCGUGCCGACAAAAAUAUGUAAUAAUAAUAAUAAUAAAAAUAAUAAUGGAUUCGAUUUAUUUAGCGCUUUUCUAGACACUCAAAGCGCUUCACAGAGAAGUGAGAAAUAUCCAUCCAUCCAUCCAUUUUCUACCGCUUGUCCCCCUCGAGGUCUCGGGGGA